rnacentral:rRNA from 1 species
AAGGGAGCUUGCUCCCGGAUGUUAGCGGAGGACGGCUGAGUAACACGUGGGUAACCUGCCUGUAAGACUGGGAUAACUCCGGCAAACCGGAGCUAAUACCGGAUAGUUCCUUGAACCGCAUGGUUCAAGGAUGAAAGACGGUUUCGGCUGUCACUUACMGAUGGACCCGCGGCGCAUUAKCUAGUUGGUGGGGUAAUGGCUCACCAAGGCGACGAUGCGUAGCCGACCUGAGAGGGUGAUCGGCCACACUGGGACUGAGACACGGCCCAGACUCCUACGGGAGGCAGCAGUAGGGAAUCUUCCGCAAUGGACGAAAGUCUGACGGAGCAMCGCCGCGUGAGUGAUGAAGGUUUUCGGAUCGUAAAGCUCUGUUGUUAGGGAASAACAAGUGCGAGAGUAACUGCUCSCACCUUGACGGUACCUAACCAKAAAGCCACGGCUAACUACGUGCCAGCAGCCGCGGUAAUAC